GGUUUCAGCUGAAAAAUUCAUGAACGUAGAAGUUAUAGAACUUAUCAAGAUCUACAACUUUUAUUUUGGUCAUUUCUUCAUCCGAUAAAGUGAUGGCAACAUUGUUCACAAAAUUUACAUGUCUCUCCUAUAGUUUCAUAGACUAUGAGAGGGAUGUGUGAUAUUUGUGAACAAUGUUACUACCACUAUGUCAGAUGAAUACAUAACUAAAAUAAAAGUUGUAAAUCUUAAAAAGUUAUGCAACUUUAUAGUUGAUAAUUUUUUUUAUUUGAAAUC
rnacentral:pre_miRNA from 1 species